rnacentral:rRNA from 1 species
UACGUAGGGGGCAAGCGUUGUCCGGAUUUAUUGGGCGUAAAGAGCGUGUAGGCGGCCAUACAGGUCAGCUGUGAAAACUCGAGGCUCAACCUCGAGACGUCGGUUGAAACCGUAUGGCUAGAGUCCGGAAGAGGAGAGUGGAAUUCCCGGUGUAGCGGUGAAAUGCGCAGAUAUCGGGAGGAACACCAAUGGCGAAGGCAGCUCGCUGGGACGGUACUGACGCUGAGGCGCGAAAGCUAGGGGAGCGAACAGG